UUGAGCGAAAAUCAGCAAGAAAAAGCACUUUUUAUCGAAAGUCUUCAACUUUAAAGAUUCAAACCUGGUUUCCUGGAUAGUUCUAAGUAUUUUACAUCCACUAACAGCAAAAACUUCCUGGGUAACAGUUUUCUAUUCAAAAUAUUACACAAGUUUGAACGUGCCGAAAAAAACUUCGCACUUUGACUCCUGAAAAAAGAACUUUAUAACUGCUCUACGUUCUGGAAACAUGUUUUGUAUUAAAUUUCAGGUAUUGUUGAAAGUUUUUAGCUUUUUUCCUUGUUGAAAUACAGCUAUUUAGUGGUCGAAAACAGACAUCUUUUAGGCGGCGUAUUUUCCACUCCAUACCUACAUGGCGGCCAUCAAGAGUAGCUUCAAAGAUGGCGGCCAAGUUAUCAUUGCAGUUCUCGUAGAGUUAACUGUUGGUGACCGAAGUCCGCGCUCAUUGAUUAUCUUUAGACUUCGCACAAAUUCAGAAAAGUGACAAAACCUCUCUGGUCAGUGAUGACAGUUAAAUGCGUUUCUCUAUAUUAGGAUAGAAAGCUAAAGUAGCACAAUUUUUAAAAAAAAUAUCAGAUUAAUAUUCGUGCAAUUCCUCGUUAAUUGCAGAAGUUCAAGCAUUGAUAUAAUACCUUCCUUCUUUUAGUAACAUAAUUUUAAGUCUCAUCGCCGUCUCAUAAAUAUUACUGUAGCGUGUUCAUUGGUGUGGAAAACAUUUUACCAUGUCAUGUCCCUUGGGAAGCGUUGUGUGGAACAUGAUAUCUCAACCCGCUAUCACGAAUUUGUCGAUUGACAUACCUACCAACGAAAACGAAGCAUGAAAUAUUAUUUUCUACAAAAGAGUUUAAGGGAAUACCGGCA